rnacentral:ncRNA from 1 species
GCGUUUGAAGUUGGUGGUGGUAGACGCGAAACCAAGUGAUCUACACAUGUCCAGGAUGAAGUCCCGGUAACACGGGAUGGAGGUCCGAACGGAUAAGCGUUGAAAAGCUUCCCGAUGAGGUGUGUGUAGGAGUGAAAGGCCAAUCAAACUUGGAGAUAGCUCGUACUCCCCGAAAGGCAUUUAGGUGCCGCGUGCAGUGUUCUCCCCAAGAGGUAGAGCGACCGAUAGGACGCGAGGGCUUCACCGCCUAUCAAGUCCUGACGAACUCCGAAUGCUUAGGGGAUAGUAGCUGCGCAGUAAGGGGACGGGUGCUAAGGUCCGUUCCCGAGAGGAGAAGAAUCCAGACCGCCGUCUAAGGUCCCGGAGUUCUGCCUGAGUUAGUCUAACGAAGUCUGGUCCCCGCGACAGCCAGGAUGUUGGCUUGGAAGCAGCCAUUCAUUUAAAGAGUGCGUAACAGCUCACUGGUCGAGGGUCCGGGCGUGGAUAAUAAUCGGGUAUAAGGCAGACACCGAAGACGCGGGAUAGC